rfam:Oryza nivara chromosome 3, whole genome shotgun sequence.
AAUAAAUAUAGUUUUACACUAUUCACGUUCAACGUUUAACCGUUCGUCUUAUUUAAAAUUUUUUUAUGAUUAGUAUUUUUAUUGCUAUUAGAUGAUAAAACAUUAAUAGUACUUUAUGUGUAACUAAAUAUUUUCAAAUUUUUCACAAAAUUUUCAAAUAAGACAGACGGUCAAAUAUUGAGUACGGAUAUCUAUGUCUGUACUUAUU